CACACACACACACACACAAUGCUGCAAAUACUGACAAGUUUUACAAAAUGGCAAAAUUAAAAUUUCCUUGCAAUGGCCCUUUCCCCAGUCCCCAUCUGGACACCCCUUGGGGGCUGGCAUGAGAAGUCACCUCAGCUGGUGUCCCUUUGAUGGCUGUAGCUCCUGGUAGAUCAUCCUUGUCCUCUCCUUUGGGGGGUCUCAUUUCACCCCAUCUUUUUCUUCCAGGCAUCUGGACACCACUCCAGCUGAUGCUGUAUUCAGAGACUCAUUUUCUUUUUAUUUCCUCCCGAAAAGACUUGAAUGACUGAUCGGUAAAAGACUUGACUGUAAGCAUGGAUCCAAAUACUCAACAUCAGAAGUCCUGGCUCUGCUUCCCUAACAACUAAACAGAAAAAUUCCAGGUUUUAAAGUCCUAAUCUUACCGUAGCUGAAGACAUCAUAUGCAGCCAAUGAUGAACCAAGACUUGGAACAAAACUCGUCAAUAUUUUUUAAUGUUAGAGUUCUGAGUAAACAGAUAACCAGGUUUAUUAUUCAGUAGUAGAGACAUCAUGUUACUAGAGAGUAAAAUUCACAACACUCUGAGGAGGCUUUGAAGUAAACCGUGAAGCAAGUAGCAUGUCAACAUCCUGGUUGCUUUGUGCAAUUUUCUUUGUCACCAUUAACAAGGAGAAUGAAGUGCUGGAAACCUGCCACAGCAAGGCUCAAUUCUCGGACCCUAACAUUUGGGGGCUUGUCCGGGAUCUGGGAGUCUACUGGUUCGAGUCUCUGGCCAGGCUGUUUGCUCCUGGCCCUUGUGGCAAUCUCCAGAGUCUGUAUGUCCGAAGAUUUCCACUUGGCCGAUGGACACACUGUCCAGGGAACACCUGCAAAGCAUAAGCUGCUGAGCUUCGGACUUGCUGAGAGCCGAUGUGAACCAGUCCAGCCCACGUGACGGCUCCCUGUCCCUUCACCUGGAUCAGAUAAUCAGACGCUUCUGAUAAAUGCCUGGACUAGCCUUCCAGCUUUCCUGGACCCUGACAAUUGACACCCCAGUUCAGUUGGAAGCAGCGACAGAAGAGAGUACAUCAAUCCUGCCCCCAUAACAAGUUGAAAAAGGCUAAGUCAAAAGGAAACUCCCUGACACAGGGGUGCAAAAUGGCUACCUAUAAUGCCAAUUGAUCAUACGAAUGGUGGGGCCUUUAGUUGCAAUUCUAUUAAUCAUGCUACAUGCAUCCUGCCUGUUGAACUCUAUCUCCUGCUUCAUUCAAAGGAGGAUCAAUGCAGUUAAGCUCCUAGUCCUGCGGGCCCAAUACAGGACCUGAACCUUUGACAUCAGUGAUUUGAUGACCUACUAGAAGAUGCAGGAAUGUUAGAUCCUAGUUAGCAGCAGAAACUCCACCUUGUCCCAGUCUGCUGUUCUGCCCUGAACUGUUGUUACCCACCAUUUCCUGAGGCUAGGCUGCAGCACCCCCAAACGCCUCUCACAGGUAUAAAUCAUAAGUGUUCCACCCCCUUCCAAUUGGUUGGCCCAGAGCUGUUUCAAACCGAACCACAGGACUCCCUGAUAGGCUGAAAGCGUGUCACCAUGAAAGGUCCCCAACUGCUUCUCCCCAUAUGUUAUGAUUAGAUAGGACUAGGGAGCUAUCUCUGUCUCUCUGGUGUUCCCC